AAAAACUACUGGGGUGCCUGGGUGGCAAAGUCAGUUAAGCAUCCAACUCUUGAUUUCAGUUCAGGUCACAAUCUCAUAGUUCAUGAGCUCAAGCCUAGCACUGGGCUCUAUGCUGGUGGUCCAGAGCCUGUUUGGGGCUCUGUCUCUUCUCUCUGCCCCUCCCCCGCUUGUGCAUUCGCCUUCUCGCUCUCUCUCAAAAUAAAUGAAUAAACAUUAAAAAAAAAAUACCCUCCCCCAACUACCUAUUACUGUUCUCACUUCAGAUUUUGCUUAAAUGGUUAGCAGGAAGGAACCUCCCUCCCUGUCAACAUGAUAAGGCAGAAUAUUAAGGGGAGGAAGCCCUGAGUCUGAGGGAGUCCACAUCCAGUGUCAAAUCCUUGGUUACAAGUCGGGCUUUGCAGUCCGAGAGCUUAGGAUCAAUUCCCAGCUCUACCAUUUUCUAGUGGUGUGAUCUGGGCUGUUGACUUAGGCUCUCUAAACUUCAGUUUCCUCCUCUGGGGGAAGGGGAUAAUAAUAAUGUGGCAUUGCUUUGAGGAUUCAAUGGAAUAAAGCAGGUAAACUGCUUAGCAGGAGCCGGGCAUAGAGUAAAGUAACUGCUGAGUAUUCAUGAUGACAAGUAUUAUUACUGUUCCACUGGUUUUGUGACUCUAGACAAGUUUGCAGCUUUGCUGAGUCUGUUCUCAGAUCAGACAUAGAACAUAAGCAGUAACGACCCAGGGCUGGAACUCCAUUAAGGGACAGCCAUCACCGCCAGUGCCAUCAUGGACAUCGUUGUCUUAUAGGCACCUGACUUUUAAGUGAGCAGAAGCUGAAAGAAAGGGAGUUAAGAUGCCUCUUAGCUUAGAAACAUGUAUAUACAUGAUGGCAACUGUAUACAAAUUACAUAUGCACAUGGGGGCGAAUUGAAAGAAAGCAGGGAAGAGUAGAAACUGAUUUGUUACAGUGUCAGGCAUGUGGAUGAAGGUUUUUUUUUCUUUUUCUCUGAUUCUACUCAUGUUAUAACUGGGUAAUAAUAAUACUUUAAAAAUAUGUUAUUGUAUAAAAGCACAACAAAUCCCCAUAUACCUAACAGCCCCUUUCAACAAUUAAUAAUGCCUUUUUUAGUCAUGAAGGAAAAUUCAAGUCAGCACUGUUGCCAAUUGUAAUAACUUUCAUAAAUGAACGAGACAGGGGCUCCUGGGUGGCUCAGUUACUUCAGUGUCUGACUCUUGAUUUCGGCCCAGGUCAUGAUCUCACAGUUCGUGGGAUGGAGACCUGCAUCAGGCUCUGCACUGACAGCAUGGAGCCUGCUUGGGAUUCUCUCUCUCUCCUCUCUCUCUCUCUCUCUCUCUCUCUCCCUCUCUCUUCCCCCUCCCCUGCUCUCUCAAAUAAAUAAGUAAAUAAGUAAAUAAAUAAACUUAAAGAAAAAAACUUUAAAAAAUUAAAAAAAACCCAUGAACGAGACAGUGAAAUUGUCCUGGAAUAAGCAGGCGAGGAAAAAGGGUCUGGCUCAACUGAAAACUUCACUCUGGCUGGCUCAAAGUAAUCCGGGUCAAGCCCAAGUGUGUUCAUGCCACAGCAUCCCCUGCAUUCAUUGGACAAGCAUUAAUGAAGUGCUUGCUGGGUACCAGGCUGGGUGUGAGGUCCUAGGAACACAAAGAAGGGAAAGCCACUGGGGGAACAGCAAAAUCAAAGCCAAGUCCCCUCAGUUCCUAUUGAAUUCCUACUCUCAAUGUAACACAAUAUUUCUAUGCAUGGUUACGAGGGCUGUAGCAGAAAUCUGUUUUGCUGGGAAGAGACAGAAGGACAAAGAAGCUCUGUGAGGGAUGGGAAGGUGCAGAAAGGUUCAGGGGAGGCAGGAGCCUGGUUUGGCCAUGGUGGGGCCAGGCGAGAGGAGGCUCCAGCAGGAGAACAUGCCAGCACUUUGGAAUGGAAGCGUGGAUACAAUCAGGUGGGAGGAGCAGCGGCAGGUGGGGCAGAGAGAAGGUAGGGAGACUGAGUAUCACAGAAAAGAAAUGGGAAGUGCCCCCCUGAGUGUCGCUUUUCUCAAACUAAAUCACCUUUAAAGAGUUAUUUGACUUGAGAGUUAAAGACCUGUCUUGUAUAAUGAUGAUUCUGCUCAAUGUAAGUUUGAAGAGGACGUCAUUGCUCUGGUGUCAUACUUAAAAAAAUAAAUAAAUACGUGGCUUUGGCUAUCAGUCCCCAAGGGUCGAAAGAGCAUGCUUCUAGGUAUUUGCAAGAUUUAAUGACUUAAUAUUGUAAUGGAUUCUAAAUAUCUCUUUAAAAUAAUUAAAAAGAAUAGGGGUGUCUGGGUGGCUCAACUUCAGCUCAGGUCAUGAUCUUGCAGUUCAUGAGUUUGAGCCCCGGCAUUGGGCUCUGUGCUGACCGCUCAGAGCCUGGAGCCCGUUGCAGAUUCUGUGUCUCCCUCUCUCUCUGCCCCUCCCCCGCUCAUGCUCUAUUUUUCGCUGUCUCAAAAAUAAACAAAACAUUAAAAAAAUAUCUCUCUGGGGGCCCCUGGGUGGCUCAGUCAAUUGAGCGUCCAACUUCAGCCCAGGUCAUGAUCUCACGGUUCGUGAGUUCGAGCCCCGUGACAGGAUCUGUGCUGACCGCUCAGAGCCUGGAGCCUGCUUUGGAUUCUGUGUCUCCUUCUCUCUCUGCCCCUCCCUCAUUUGCAUUCUGUCUCUAUCUCUCUCCCAAAAAUAAACAUUAAAAUUUUUUAAUAAAAUAAAAUAAUUAAAAAGAAUAGAAAGAAGUCUUAAAUAUGGCAAAUGCUGUAUAAUUUUUGCAGUUAUACAUCACAUCUAACUCUAGAGUAAACUCUGUGUCUACAUUAACACGUUUCCCGUGGUAGCAUAGUCUUGUCUCCCGUGCUUGUCCCCUUGCAAGCUCCACUCAGGCACGUAGGCCUUUUUCUCACGCUCACCAGGCUGGCCCCACAUCAAGGCCCACAUUGCACGGAUUGGAGCCUUUGCAAAUUCCUGUGCAGCCUGCCACGAGUUCCUGAGGGUGGGGCUUGCUAGGGGUGCUGAGAAUUGAUGGGAUCACCAGCCAGUCCAGAUGCUGGAAGAGUAGCCAGCAGGUUCCCCAGCUGCCUGUCUCAUUGCCCUGAGAGGCAGUUAGGUGGUUGCAGAGAGACAGGUCCUAAAGGUUUGGUGACGAAAGAAUUGGAAACCAGGGGGCUAAGACUCUCCAGGAGCCGAAGCAUCGGUCCCCUGGCUCAAGCCUCUUUUAUUUUUGCAAAUUACCUGGUAACAGCGAGCACGUACAACAUAGUAUUUGGCAUCUUGACAGGCCGUGCACCUGCAGUAUAUUCCAUACUGGGUCAUGAGUACAUCUGGCACCAGACAAAACAUUCUUAUCCCAGGCCUGGAGCCCGUAUGAUGUCCUUCUGGAGAGAACGAGCAGUCACGGCAGCCUUCCGUCCUGGGAAUGAAGCUGCUUUCAGUUUUCUUGCUGCUCUGUCCCUUUCCUUCAGGACAUUCUUAUAGCGCCUCCAGCUUCUUGUUCUCCAAUGGGUGAUCUCCUCUGGAGUGAAGAUCCGGCAUCUUCCCAAAUGACUAAGAAAUCAUCAUAGCCAACUUCGGUGAAGAAUGUGAUGAAAAUAUCCUGCUCUUUCUGAUGUGCUUUUAUUUAGGAAGAGUUAACGUAAGCGUAACUUAGAAGUUAGAAAAUAGAUUGUAAUGGUCUCCCUUUUUAUCUUCACCCUAAGUCUACUCUUGCGUCAAGGUCCAGCUCCACUCCUACCUUCUCUUUGUAACCUUGUCUGAUGGUUCCAUCUCUUAGUGAUCUGCCCCGAUACUUUGUACUCUGAUGUCAAGUGAUGGAGAUUUAUUCCAUCUGAAUUCUGUUGGAAUCACUGUAUGUGUUGGAAAAUACUACUUUGAGAAUCUUCCUGGUUAGAAGUGAGAUGCAAAAUGAAAGAAUAUGUUACAAAGAAUGGCCAUCAAAAUCCCUUCCAAAGAAGUUGGAAUCUGUUACCUGGAUAGCUCAUAGUUUAGGGGAGUAACAGUAAUAAGUUUGGGUGUGCAAAUCUGGAAGGCAGUUGCUGGUAUAGUGCUGAAGUCCUGUCCACCUUUCCAGAUUAGAAGAGAAAGGAAUUCGAAACUCCCUCUAAGAAGUGAGGGGAGAGAAGGCAGAGAGGCUGAUAUGGGUUGGUAGAAGGAUGAGAGGCAACUCUGAGGCAGCUCUGUAGCUGAGAGAGCACUUUGCACCUGAACUCGAAGAAGAGCUGAAAUGGGUGUCUGGGUUGGCUCAGGGGAGGAGACGGUAUGUGCAGACAGAUGAGAGGAUGCCAUGUGGAUUGCCCUUGAGCAAUGCUGUGUGUGCGAGCCAUGGCUCUGGCACCCCACCAGUCACACCAUGCCACAUAUUCUUGUUUCAGCCUCAAGGAAGAGACAGACAAGGUACACAAAUAAAAGGAAUGCAAUUAAAGAUCAAGUCCGAAUGGUAGCCCAGUGUGAACAGGUGGGGAAGGAAGGAAUUUUCUUCUCUGUAUCUUUGGUCCAUAUACUUAGUAGGUUCUCACUCCUUUCUAAGAGGAGUUCUACAAGGUUCCUUCUAGAAGGUUCUUCUACUCCUUCCAAGCAACUUCCUGGGUUUCCCUUUCACACGGGAUGGCAUGAGUGGCAUCAUGCCUAUGCCUACGGGGAAUAUAUAGCCCUUUCUUUGGCUAGACUUCUAGUAAGAGGGUGCCAUUCGAUUCCACUGGCAGUUCAAAAAAUGAGCAAAAGUCUAAGAAUUAACUCAUAUCAGCUUUGGAGCCUGCAGAGAUUGGCAGUGUCCUGUAAAAGCUGGUAGUACCUUCUAAUGAAAUAUUUAUUAGGACUGUGGUUUUGCAAAUGACAAAUCAAUUUAAAGUAACGUUUCCUCCAGAAGGUGGAAGAGCACAGCCGGAGCUUCACACCCAUCCCGGGCUGACAUUUCCUUGAACCUCCCCGCUUCAGCUUUUCAUUGUGUAGCAAAUGUGUGACACAAAUGUAGCAGAACGGAAUGCUCCUGCAAGGGCGCAGACCCCUCUAACAAGGCCAGCACAGCUGCCCGCGUGCCCCAACAUAAAUAAAGCAUCAGCAAAUUCAGGAAAACACAACACAUAAUUGAACUGAGAUGAGGACAAGAGUCAGGUUUUGUAAGAUCAUCCCUAAGUGGAUGCAACUAAUGGCUUUAACGUUUCUUCUCAAAUCAGGCUGAAUGGUUGAGCAGGCAGCCUUAGGAAACCCAUAGCAACUAGGAAAAGAUCACAGAUACCCACAACGUGCAAGCAGCAAACACAGGCUGUCUGGUUGAAGAAAUAUUUUUAUAGGAGGCUUGGGACAUGAAUGGAGGGAGUAGCAAAGAACAAAAGCAAUGGGUAGGCGUAUCCUCCAUUUCACAGAGAAAUCCUGAAGUCUUUCUAGAAGUCCCUGUGGGGGACUGUGGCUUAUGCAAACGUCUAAUACCUGCGUGCCUCCAGGCACAGUGCCUCAAAGAUAGAAGGAGCCCAGUGAAGGUGUGUUGCAUUAUUUUUGUCUUUAACUUUAUUAACCCCCUGUUCCUUCUUUCCUCCAAGCCCUGGAUUCCUGUUUAAUAAGGCUUUGGCUUCAUGAAAUCCUAACAUGGAAGCUGAAAGGCAAGCAGGAAAGACAGAAUCGUGGAAAUCAAACUGGAAUCCUGUCUGCUCUCUCUUCUGCCCAUUCCACAUGACUUCCAGCGCUGUGCAGGGGUCUCGUCACCAGGACUCACCUGGAAUCACCAUGAACUCUUCCUCCAAGCUCCAUCUCCAGUGCCGCUCCUUUUACGAACCUUCUCUGGCCAUUUAAUGUGCUCCAUUUAGCUCUCUGGCCUCAUGUUAUUUGCAACAUUUCUAUUUCCUUUUCAAUCUCUGCUUUGUACUAUAAUCACCGAAGGGCAUGUCCAUUUCCCUCACUAGACAGCAAGUUCCUUGAGGGCACUAUUGUAUUUUACACAACUUUCUAUGUCAUAUAAAACUUCCCACCUGGGUAAUUCAACAAUAAAUUAACAGACACAAAGACAUGUAAGGGAAAAGAAUAUGGACAUAGUUCCAACUAUGUGCCCACAGUGUUAGAUUAAGAAAUGGCUCAUUACCAUGACCUUUGAAGUCUGGCGUGUGUCCCAUUGUCUUCGCUCUUCACUUAGAGGGAACGGUGAUUUUUCAUUUUCGACUGAUAAUUUCCAUGCUUUCUACAUAAUUUUAUUAUAUAUGUUCACAUUGCUAAAUACCUUUUUAUUGUAUGUAUUAUAUAUAUUACAUAAAUGUAUAUAUAUAAAUAUAUAUUACAUAUAUAUUACAUUGUACAUAUAUAUAAUAAACUGUUUUUAAACACAUAAAAUUGGAAUCAUACUACAUGUAUUUUGCUGUGACCCUUUUUUGUUCAAAAUUGUGUCCUUGUGGAUGACGCAUGUUGUUGCUUGUAUAAACACGUGCUCUGAGAGACAGAGCAGGGGUCCCCUUUGGGCUCCUUGUCCUGGGGGACACACAGGCAGGCAGAGGAAUCACCUGAUUACCCAGUGGAACCAGAGCUGCUCUUACCCAGUGGGGCAGGAAGGACACUGUGUGGAACUCGAGGGAUCCUCAAGUCCUGUCUUGCCAUCAGGACUGUGGAUAGAGAGUGCAGCACUCUUUAACUGAGAAGGGGUGAUUGCCAAGGGUGCAGUCUCCUCAGGAGCACAGUUGGGCUCACACCACCGGGUAACUUGCCAGGUCAUAGAUGCUUGGGUAGACUGGUACACAAGGAAGGAGAGAAGGUUCCUAUUCUUAUGAAUCUUGUAUUUCAGGGCAUGUGAGAGAGAAAUCAAGAGAAAAACAAUAGGGGUGCGUGAGUGGCUCAGUCAGUACAGCAUCCGGUAUCAGCUCAGGUCAUCAUCUCACAGUUCGUGAGUUCGAGCCCUGCAUCAGGCUCCCUGCCAUCGGCACAAAGCCCACGUGGGAUUCUCUGUCCCCCUUUCCCUCUGUCUCUCCCCCGGUCACUCUCUCUCUCUUCUCUCAAAAAGAGUGACUUACAGCCACUUACAGCGGCAGUGACUUAGAGUUCAAGGGGACCCCUCCUCUUUCCCUCAAAAAGAGAGAGAGAAACAAUAAACAGUAGAUACAAUAAAUCAAAUUAAAUAGUAUGUUAGAAGUGAUAAAUACUAGAGAAAAGGGAAAAAAUGGAGCAGGGCAAUAAGGUCAGGAGUGCAGGAUGGCAGGAAUGGGGACGGAUUUGCAAUAUCAAAUAGGGUGGGUCUCAUGGAGAAGGGAACAUAUGAGCAACUAUUGCAAACAGUGAGGGAUUAGUCCCGCAGAUGUCUGAGAAAGGAGCAUUCAAGGCAGAGGAAACUCCCAGUGCACUGUAGAAGGCAGGAGUGUGCCUGGCACUCCGGGCAGAGUAGGGAGCCAGUGGGGCAGACAGGAGAUGAAGUCAGAGCAGCAAAGGAAGGGAGAAGCAAGGGGCACCUGGCUGGCUC